rnacentral:rRNA from 1 species
UACAGAGGUCUCAAGCGUUGUUCGGAUUCAUUGGGCGUAAAGGGUGCGUAGGCGGCGUGGUAAGUCGGAUGUGAAAUCUCGGAGCUUAACUCCGAAACUGCAUUCGAUACUGCCGUGCUUGAGGACUGGAGAGGAGACUGGAAUUUACGGUGUAGCGGUGAAAUGCGUAGAUAUCGUAAGGAAGACCAGUGGCGAAGGCGGGUCUCUGGACAGUUUCUGACGCUGAGGCACGAAGGUCAGGGGAGCAAACGGG